rnacentral:sRNA from 1 species
GGAUCCGUCAAGUGAACAUUUACUAUUAUCUAGAAGAUGACAGCAUGUCUGUCAUAGAGCCUGUUGUAGAAAAUUCUGGAAUCCCUCAAGGCAAGUUAAUAAAACGCCAGCGGCUAGCCAAGAAUGACCGGGGCGACCAUUACCAUUGGAAAGACCUAAAUCGAGGAAUAAACAUCACAAUUUAUGGCAAAACUUUCCACGUUGUUGACUGUGACCAAUUCACACAGGUAUUUUUAGAAAGCCAAGGAAUUGAAUUAAAUCCACCAGAGAAGAUGGCUCUUGAUCCUUACACUGAACUCCGAAAACAGCCUCUUCGUAAGUAUGUCACCCCAUCAGACUUUGAUCAACUCAAGCAAUUUCUCACCUUUGACAAACAGGGUUACAGGUACAGGAAUGCCUGCAUUUCAUAUGGAGAUCCAAAGAAGAUUGUGGAGUUGCAGAGUAGUUUUGUGAAUCUCACCAAACAUUUAAAUCUCAAAACAAUUUCUGAGCUACAUCUGCUUCCCACCUUACGUUUCCAAUUGACAAUUUCUUUCCCUUAAAAUGAGCUAAUUUCAUAGACUCCUUUGCGAAACCAUAAAUCAAUUAUUAGAAAACUUCAAAAAUAUGCAUAUAUGUAGGUUCUAAUGUUAAAAUGUUUAAUUUUACAGAAGCCCCACUACAGAUGCUUCCUUGUUAAAUGUUACAUUAAUAUUGGAGUCCAGAAUGUUCUGAGCAUUUUCCAACUCUGUUCCAACCUUUCUAAUCCUCUCCCUUGUGAGCUGAUGUGUAUAAGCAGAUUUAAAUCCUUCCCUUUCUGUACUAAAGGGAGAAAGAAAAGGAAGAGAUCACCCUCAGUGCUUCUUUGCUGCUCCUUUUCUUUAGACAUUUAACCCCUUUUAGUUCAGAAAAUGUAAACUAGCACUAGCAUGGUCUUUUAAGGAUUUUGUUCAUAUCAGU